rnacentral:rRNA from 1 species
ACAGAUCGUUCAGAGUUUGAUCCUGGCUCAGGAUGAACGCUAGCGGCAGGCUUAACACAUGCAAGUCGAGGGGCAGCAUAAAGCGGUGCUUGCACUGCUUGGUGGCGACCGGCGCACGGGUGCGUAACGCGUAUGCAACCUACCUAUAACAGGGGGAUAACACUGAGAAAUUGGUACUAAUACCCCGUAACAUCAUAUAGGGCAUCCUAUUUGGUUGAAAGUUCCGGCGGUUAUAGAUGGGCAUGCGUUGUAUUAGCUAGUAGGUGAGGUAACGGCUCACCUAGGCGACGAUACAUAGGGGGACUGAGAGGUUAACCCCCCACAUUGGUACUGAGACACGGACCAA